rnacentral:rRNA from 1 species
GAUGAACGCUGGCGCUUUGAGUAAUACAUGCAAGUCGAGCGAACGGACGAGAAGCUUGCUUCUCUGAUGUUAGCGGCGGACGGGUGAGUAACACGUGGAUAACCUACCUAUAAGACUGGGAUAACUUCGGGAAACCGGAGCUAAUACCGGAUAAUAUUUUGAACCGCAUGGUUCAAAAGUGAAAGACGGUCUUGCUGUCACUUAUAGAUGGAUCCGCGCUGCAUUAGCUAGUUGGUAAGGUAACGGCUUACCAAGGCAACGAUGCAUAGCCGACCUGAGAGGGUGAUCGGCCACACUGGAACUGAGACACGGUCCAGACUCCUACGGGAGGCAGCAGUAGGGAAUCUUCCGCAAUGGGCGAAAGCCUGACGGAGCAACGCCGCGUGAGUGAUGAAGGUCUUCGGAUCGUAAAACUCUGUUAUUAGGGAAGAACAUAUGUGUAAGUAACUGUGCACAUCUUGACGGUACCUAACCAGAAAGCCACGGCUAACUACGUGCCAGCAGCCGCGGUAAUACGUAGGUGGCAAGCGUUAUCCGGAAUUAUUGGGCGUAAAGCGCGCGUAGGCGGUUUUUUAAGUCUGAUGUGAAAGCCCACGGCUCAACCGUGGAGAGUCAUUGGAAACUGGAAAACUUGAGUGCAGAAGAGGAAAGUGGAAUUCCAUGUGUAGCGGUGAAAUGCGCAGAGAUAUGGAGGAACACCAGUGGCGAAGGCGACUUUCUGGUCUGUAACUGACGCUGAUGUGCGAAAGCGUGGGGAUCAAACAGGAUUAGAUACCCUGGUAGUCCACGCCGUAAACGAUGAGUGCUAAGUGUUAGGGGGUUUCCGCCCCUUAGUGCUGCAGCUAACGCAUUAAGCACUCCGCCUGGGGAGUACGACCGCAAGGUUGAAACUCAAAGGAAUUGACGGGGACCCGCACAAGCGGUGGAGCAUGUGGUUUAAUUCGAAGCAACGCGAAGAACCUUACCAAAUCUUGACAUCCUUUGACAACUCUAGAGAUAGAGCCUUCCCCUUCGGGGGACAAAGUGACAGGUGGUGCAUGGUUGUCGUCAGCUCGUGUCGUGAGAUGUUGGGUUAAGUCCCGCAACGAGCGCAACCCUUAAGCUUAGUUGCCAUCAUUAAGUUGGGCACUCUAAGUUGACUGCCGGUGACAAACCGGAGGAAGGUGGGGAUGACGUCAAAUCAUCAUGCCCCUUAUGAUUUGGGCUACACACGUGCUACAAUGGACAAUACAAAGGGCAGCGAAACCGCGAGGUCAAGCAAAUCCCAUAAAGUUGUUCUCAGUUCGGAUUGUAGUCUGCAACUCGACUACAUGAAGCUGGAAUCGCUAGUAAUCGUAGAUCAGCAUGCUACGGUGAAUACGUUCCCGGGUCU